GAUGAACGCUGGCGGCGUGCUUAACACAUGCAAGUCGAACGGGAAACCUUUUAUUGAAGCUUCGGCAGAUUUAGCUGGUUUCUAGUGGCGGACGGGUGAGUAACGCGUGGGUAACCUGCCUUAUACAGGGGGAUAACAACCAGAAAUGGUUGCUAAUACCGCAUAAGCGCACAGGACCGCAUGGUCCGGUGUGAAAAACUCCGGUGGUAUAAGAUGGACCCGCGUUGGAUUAGCUAGUUGGCAGGGUAACGGCCUACCAAGGCGACGAUCCAUAGCCGGCCGGGGAGGGUGAACGGCCACAUUGGGACUGAGACACGGCCCAGACUCCUACGGGAGGCAGCAGUGGGGAAUAUUGCACAAUGGGGGAAACCCUGAUGCAGCGACGCCGCGUGAAGGAAGAAGUAUCUCGGUAUGUAAACUUCUAUCAGCAGGGAAGAUAGUGACGGUACCUGACUAAGAAGCCCCGGCUAACUACGUG
rnacentral:rRNA from 1 species